UCUCUCUUCCUCGUCUGUUUCUCUCUUUACUGUUCUUCCUUCUCUUUCUCUAUUUCCUCUGUUCUUUUUGAAAAUUAGAGCUUGGGAUAAGGCAGAUCAAGGACUUGAAAAUCAAGUAAACUUGGGAUAAGGUAGAUCAGAGACGGUGGACGUUAUGUAGUUCUCCGUGAAAAUCAAUUUUUUCUCUCUGUCUCUAUCUUCCUCUCCUGUUUGGACUGUUUCUCUCCAUGUUCUUCACUUCUUCUUUUUUCAAUUACUAAUCAAUCAUCCUAGCGACCUAGCCACCUAGUCCUCUUUUUAGAGACCAUUUUAUACCCAGCGAUUUCCGGAUUCGCUGCACUUUUCAGAAACCUAAAUCCCAUUAUCAAAAACAAACAUCUAUCUUCUCAUCAUUUUAAGCUCGCUUCGUAAUCUUUUGUGUUUGAAGCUGGACAAUAAUCCACUAAGACAGGUGAAUACAUGCAACUGAUACCAUCAGAUGAUGGAUUCCAAGCAACCCCUAUGCUUCAGAUUCUGGAUCUAAGUGGUAAUGCAGCUUCGUCACUAGAGCACCCUAUAUUUUCUAGCUUACAGUAUCUGCAAGAGCUUUAUCUGAGACGAAUGCAGCUACACGAAGUCCCAUCAGAUAUCUUGAGUUUGCAGCAACUGCGGAUCCUAGACUUCAGCCAAAAUUCCUUGCAGUCGGUUCCAGUGGUUAUAUUCAACGUUCUUAAAUCAUGUAUGUACAUACCACCUAUAUCACAUACCGCCAAGCAUAAGCAACGACCUCGUAGGUGGGCCCCACGACAUGGUAGGUCCCGCCUACGACAUGCAUCCCGGAGACCGACACUCGAGCUACCUCGCCAUGGUGAAGGUCGACCGGUAUCUUGCCAAGAGGCCACUCUCCCAUGCUCUCCAAGGAGGCUUCAAGAGAAGCAAUAUGUGUAUUGUAUCCCACAAUGGAAAUAUAGAAUAGAUGGGGACUUCCUUUAGCUAUAUAAGGAAGUCAUCCCCUUCUUCGAAGAUGAUGGAUCCAUGAUCCCUAUACUUGUAUCACUACAAAGGUCACUUGACCUCACUCAUAGUAAAAUAUCUAAGUGGACGUAGCCUUGCCUCAAGGGCAAGGUGAACCACUAUACAUGCUUGUGUCUCCCUCUCUCUCUCUCUCCCCAUCAUGAUCCAUGCUUAGUUCCUGUUCCGUAUUCUCACACAGAAAUAUUGGCGCUAGAAGAGGGCCCCUAGGAGUUAGGGUACGAGCCUCCGACCUUGAGUAAGGGUCAUGUACGGGUACCAUGAGCUUCCGGGUACAUGGGUACAUGCAGGACACCCCACCCUCAACCUCACCCAAGCCUUCGAGUCAUCCGGUACUAUGAGCCAUCCGGUACUUGAGCCAUCGGGUACAUGAGUCACCCUCUACUCCCAAGCUCCACUCUUCUCCGGGACUCAUGAGUAGGCGGGUACGUGCAGGACCCCGCACCCUCAUCGCUCAUCACUGAUGUCACUUCUACCACCACCAAGGUCCAAUUUCUGUAGUACCCGACCGGGACUCGUUGAGAAGAUCCCGCUCUUGGUCUUCUUCCAAUAUCCAAUUUAUCUGGCGACUCUGGUGAAGAUAAAUUUUCGAGCAGUAAUCUCAUCAACUCAUUGGCAAGCGCGGUAGCAGCUUGCUCACCUCUUCUCGGUAAUCCCCAGAUGAGAAAUCCUCCAUGCACACCCAUACUGUGGUGGCUUCUUUUCUUCACCUCUCGGAGACUAAGCCUUGCAUGCUUGGUAAGCCAUCUCCCCGACCGGGACCUUCAAUAACUCAAUUCUCUCAAGCAUCAAAGGUGAUUCUGCUCAGGGCACCCGGGAAGGUUUGGACACCCAACCCACCCCGGUGAUCAUCACCACUAUCUCGGUGACCCCUCACCGGCAACACCGUCCCGGCGACACCACCACUUCCCAGCAACUGGUACUCGGUAAGUCUACGUACCGGUACCCUUCAUCCCAUACCGCGAGCCCUUCAUCACCGGGUACCGAUGUCAAUGAGUUCUUAAGGCCCAUACCGGCACCCAGUACCCCAGUACCCGGUAACCUCACUUUCUGCUUCUAAACGCACGAACUCUGGUACCCGGAAGUGGAACUUCACCUCGACGAUCCUCGAACAGCCUCCUGUCUCAUGCACACCGGUAAGAACUCAGCAGCUUGCUCACCGGCAGUCUCAGGCUUCAAGCCACCGAUAUCCCUGUUGAUAUCUCUGUUUCCGGGAACUCAACGUGUUUCCAGCACCCAAUAAUCUUCUCUUGGCAUCCGUGAACCGCCAGAACGUUGUUUGCUGCAUACCAAAAUGCUCUCUUUACACCCAAACAUCCUCUUUGGACACCCAGUUGCUACUAUCUCUCUGUACCGGGCACAAAAUGAAUUCUCAAGAGGCUCCCAAAUCCACUGUGCAUUGCUCCCAGCAGCAAUCGUCAACAAGCAAGUAGGAGCUAAGUUCUCGUACUCUUGUUACUUCGCACAGUCAUCAGUAACAACUAAUCAUGUGCCUAUAUCUGUUCGCUGCUCCUUGUGCAUUUACUGCAGUUUCUCUUCCAAAACUGGACACAUGGCUAAUGCUUUCUUUGUUAGCUAAGAGUACUUUCGGUGUAUUCAUUUUACAUUUUAAUCCCUCACCAAGUGCAAGCUGCAUUGCUCACCACGCGUAGCUCUUCAAGUACAAGCUGCUAUGUAUAUGUGUCUUCUUAUGCAGAGACUUGGCACAUGAGAAUACUGACAUCUCAUGAAUUUUCAAAGUAAACUGUCAAAAGAGUACUUGGUCAUCUUACAUAGAUGCCACGUUUUGUCUUCAUCUCUGCAUAGUUUACUCACACAUCUUGCAAUCACUUAGAAGUAUGCAUGUGCAGUAUGGGGAUAUUAUGAUCCCAACGAGCUCUUAUAAGCAUGAUAAUCUUUGCCUCUCUGUGCCACGUCUCAUGCAAGGGUACAUCCAUGCACACCUACAUGCUUUCUUUAUUCUUACACAUGCAAAAUGGCUUCAGUAGGGACACCCCCACUUGCUCCAUUCUUAUAUUAUCACAGGCUUCCUCUUGUUUCAUGUUGGUACACAGUUUGGGACCAUCUAUGUCUCUUGCACACUACAAAUUUUUGGGCAUGAUUUUCAAUUAUUAGAGCACAUAUAGUCCAACACUACAACUCAUAAAUUGAUUCAAUGUACUUUCUCCAUGCUCAAUUAUACAUGAACAUGUGUUCCUUGUUAGUUUCUCAUACUGAUGGUUAUCACCAUAAUCAAUUCUCUCUGCCUAUACGUGUUGCCUACACAUGCUGUACCACCACACUUUGACUCAUAAUUAAUACUGUGCCCCAUGGCCAUGCUUAUCUCAUCUUUUCAUUUCAAGGUUCGUCAUUUCCAUACUUACAUCGGCAAUUUAAUCCCUCAUGCUAUGAAAAUUAAUUCAAAGGACCAUUAUAUCUCUCAUACCAUAUCAGAGUAUAAAGCAAAAUCUAUGUGAUUCAUCAAUUAAAGUAUAUAAGUUGCUAAUCACUUAUUAUGUUGUCCCUUUGGAGGAAGCAAAAUCGCUCUCAAUCGGGCAUUUUCUUGUGCAUACAAGGCCAUGAAGCGUCAUGCUUGGACGACAACUCCAACAUGAUUUAGUUUUCGGGUCAAUCCCAUUUGUCACCUCCUCCAAACGGCACAAGAUAAGUUUUAUUUUACGCUCUUUUAAGUUUGAGCUAAUACAAAUGUCUUACAUGCUUCAAUAACGAUUUCUAUAGUCUAAAAAUAUGCCUACAACAUUUGAUACUUUCAAUAGCAUAUUCAUUGUGCCUAUUUAUUAAUUUCAUGCUUUAAUUUAAUUGCCCGUCAAUUACAAUUACUACAUGCAUACAUACGGCACUUUUAAUGCGGCACUUGAAAAUCCUUGCCCCGAGCGAGGUACCCCAACGGGGUUACGAGACCAAUGCCAUCAUUCUACCCGGGGCCAUGCCACCGGGUACCGGGGCCCAAGGCCACCGGUUACCCCAACGGGGUUACAUCAUUCUACCCGGGGUCACACCACCGAGUAAAGGAGGCCUACCGGCCCUCAUUCAACCCCAUUGGGUUAAGGAGGCUCAAGCCCUCAUCUACCCCAACAGGGUUACGAGGCUCAAACCCUCAUUCGAUCCCAAUGGGUCAAAGAGACCCAUAGCUCUCAAUCCCACCGGGAUCACGGGCUCACUCACCUCAUCGGGUACAUGAGGCUUCGAGCCUAUCUACUCCACUAGGUAUACGAGUCAGCCCAAACCUCAUUGGGUACCGGAGGCCCAAGGCCAGACACUUUCAUCGGGUACCGGAGGCCAACGCCACCAGGUACCCCCAUGGGGUUACGAGGCACAAUUCCUCAUCCUACCCGGAGCCACGCUACAGGGUACCGGAGGCGAAAGUCACAGGGUAAAGGAGGCCUACAAGCCCUCAUUCAACCCCAUUAGGUUAAGGAGGCUCAAGCCCUCACGUGACCCCACCGGGCCACGCUGUACAAGCCCUCAUGCUACCCUAUCGGGUACUAGAGGGAUCAAGCCCUCAUGCAACCCCAUCGGGUACGAGAGGCAUCAAGCCCUCACUCUACCCUAUCGGGUACUAGAGGCAUCAAGCCCUCAUGCCACCCUAUCGGGUACUAGAGGCAUCAAGCCAUGCUACCCCAUCGGGUACGAGAGGCAUCAAGCCCUCACUCUACCCCAAUGGGUACCAGAGUCGUUAUACACAAGGCCCACAUGCCCUCAUAAAUCCUCUACUCUAGCGAGGUAUCCCAACGGGAUAAUUAAAGGGUAGCCCGAGCGAGGUACCCCCAACGGGUAGCCCAAGGGUCAAUCCCUUGCUUCUGAGUCAUCUCACCUCCCGAGCAUUCUCUACACUUGGGGACUUAUUCAUACCACUUAUCACAAGUGGAGGUAGUACCCGACCGGGACUAUCAUUGAGCUUCACGCUUAUACCUAUCGUGCUAUGGUCUAUUAAUGGAAAUAUUGAAAUUUUUGACUUAUACGUCGUAUGUCAAACAUUACAUAAUAUGUGCAUACACACAUUGUGUAACAUGCAUCUCACAUAAACAUUCAUGCACCUCGAUGCAUUUGACUCAAAUGUCACUUAGAUUGCCCUAGCGCAAUCAAUAUGUAUUUUGUACACUCUUAUCUUAUUAUUUGCAGGUACUAGCGUGAUGAGGGCCCCGUGGCACCAACCUACCCGUAGAGUCCCUUCUUACUUACGGAGUUAGGGGACUAGUAUGGGUAUGGCGUUCAACAAGGUCAUCAUAUUUAAACUCCCCAACCAAGAAGCGCCUCUUACUCGGGGACUUGGGGGACUUGUACAUCCCACCUAUAUCACAUACCGCCAAGCAUAAGCAACGACCUCGUAGGUGGGCCCCACGACAUGGUAGGUCCCGCCUACGACAUGCAUCCCGGAGACCGACACCCGAGUGAUUACACGCAUUUCUAUGCAUGUAGUUGUAUCUAAAACACUAGAAGUAAGUGGAUCUCCAAGUCAAUUAUAAUGUAAUUAAUCUAUUGUUAUCUAUUUUGUAGGAAAUAUGCGGAGUUGUCGAUUUUGAAAGAAAAUGGCGCGAAAGGAGAGCAAUUCGUGAUUUUCGACAAAAUGACGAAAUUAGAAUGACUUAAUUAACCAAUAAGCAUGGAUUGAUUAAUCAGUUGAGCAUUUGGUUAAUUAGCCACUUACUUGAACAUGCAUGCACGUUUAUAACCAUUGAUUGGUCUAACCAAAUAUGAGCUUGGCAUGUGGCAAUUUUUCAUUCUAUUCACUUACCAUCAGAACAAUCUGUCACGUGCUCUCCUUUCAAUUAACCAAAGCUAUCAAUCUUACCCUCCUAUCCAACCACGUGUCCCAAUAUCCCAUUCACCUUUUCCUCCUCCACACGAAAUAGCCACCCAUUUAUCUCUUUCUCUCACAGAGUACCCAUAUUUUUAUAUCCUCUUCUCUUCAACCCAACAGCCGCACCAGACCACACCCAAAAACAGAGGCAGCCCCUUUGGGCUGCUCUCUCUCCUCUCCUCCUUCUCCUCCAUUUUUCAUAAUAGUUUUAGUUUUUUUUUGGGUAUCCAUAGAAUUUCUCACACAAGCUUCAAGGAUUCAUCAAAAGCUACAAGAUUCAAGCUUUAGGUAUUUGUGGGAGUUGUAAUUCAAGGGAAGUCAUAUUAGCUCCCUAGCUAAUUGUGGCUACCUUUGUGUUCUCCUACACUUCUAUAAUCUUUUCUCUUUGAAUUUUGUAUCUUUGAUGUUCAUAUUUAUGGGUUGUGAGUAAUUUUCUUGUUGGGUUUUAGGGUUGUGUCCCUAACCCAAAUUUUGUGUAAAAGAUGUUUAAUUUAAUGUAAUGAUGCAAUUUUCAUA